rnacentral:lncRNA from 1 species
AAAUCAGAGCGUUUGUGUUACAUUCUGUGCUUGGAGCGAAAGGCUUGGUUGGAAAUGGGAAUGAAAUCAAAUAUCAUGGCAAUUGCUGCGGUGCUGGUUGUUCUCUUGGGUAUAAUCUCGGCUUGAGUGAAGGAUUUUUGUCAUUCUUGUUAAUAUAACAGGGGUUGUGAUGCAAGCUGAAGCUGCAGGACAGCAGGCGCUCCUCCAGCGAGGUGAUACAUCAGACAAUUCGAUAUAACUUUGGAGAUCUCUUCUAGUUUGCCCGGCAGUGUGCCAGUACACUAGAGUGGUUUGCAGAGUGAAUAGGAAUGCAUGCUUUAACUCUUGCAAUCUCCCGCGAGGAUGCCGG